rnacentral:rRNA from 1 species
AUUGAACGCUGGCGGCAUGCCUUACACAUGCAAGUCGAACGGUAGGGGGAGCAAUCCCCUGAGAGUGGCGAACGGGUGAGUAAAGCAUCGGAACGUGCCCAGUUGUGGGGAAUAACUACUCGAAAGAGUGGCUAAUACCGCAUACGACCUGAGGGUGAAAGCGGGGGACCGAAAGGCCUCGCGCAGUUGGAGCGGCCGAUGUCAGAUUAGCGAGUUGGGGGGGUAAAGGCCCACCAAGGCGACGAUCUGUAGCUGGUCUGAGAGGACGACCAGCCACACUGGGACUGAGACACGGCCCAGACUCCUACGGGAGGCAGCAGUGGGGAAUUUUGGACAAUGGGCGCAAGCCUGAUCCAGCCAUGCCGCGUGCAGGAAGAAGGCCUUCGGGUUGUAAACUGCUUUUGUCAGGGAAGGAAUCCCUUGGGUUAAUACCUCGGGGGGAUGACGGUACCUGAAGAAUAAGCACCGGCUAACUACGUGCCAGCAGCCGCGGUAAAAC